rnacentral:rRNA from 1 species
GACGAACGCUGGCGGCGUGCUUAACACAUGCAAGUCGAACGGAAAGGCCCUGCUUUGGUGGGGUGCUCGAGUGGCGAACGGGUGAGUAACACGUGAGUAACCUGCCCUUGACUUUGGGAUAACUUCAGGAAACUGGGGCUAAUACCGGAUAGGAGCUCCUGCUGCAUGGUGGGGGUUGGAAAGUUUCGGCGGUUGGGGAUGGACUCGCGGCUUAUCAACUUGUUGGUGGGGUAGUGGCUUACCAAGGCUUUGACGGGUAGCCGGCCUGAGAGGGUGACCGGCCACAUUGGGACUGAGAUACGGCCCAGACUCCUACGGGAGGCAGCAGUGGGGAAUAUUGCACAAUGGGCGGAAGCCUGAUGCAGCAACGCCGCGUGCGGGAUGACGGCCUUCGGGUUGUAAACCGCUUUCGCCUGUGACGAAGCGUGAGUGACGGUAAUGGGUAAAGAAGCACCGGCUAACUACGUG